AUUGAACGCUGGCGGCAUGCCUUACACAUGCAAGUCGAACGGCAGCACGGGAGCUUGCUCCUGGUGGCGAGUGGCGAACGGGUGAGUAACACAUCGGAACGUACCCUGAAGUGGGGGAUAACGUAGCGAAAGUUACGCUAAUACCGCAUAUUCUGUGAGCAGGAAAGCAGGGGAUCGCAAGACCUUGCGCUCUGGGAGCGGCCGAUGUCGGAUUAGCUAGUUGGUGGGGUAAAGGCCUACCAAGGCGACGAUCCGUAGCGGGUCUGAGAGGAUGAUCCGCCACACUGGGACUGAGACACGGCCCAGACUCCUACGGGAGGCAGCAGUGGGGAAUUUUGGACAAUGGGCGGAAGCCCGAUCCAGCCAUGCCGCGUGAGUGAAGAAGGCCUUCGGUUG
rnacentral:rRNA from 1 species